UACGGAAGGGGCAAGCGUUGUUCGGAAUCAUUGGGCGUAAAGGGUGCGUAGGCGGCGCGGUAAGUCGGGUGUGAAAUCUCGGAGCUUAACUCCGAAACUGCAUUCGAUACUGCCGUGCUUGAGGACUGGAGAGGAGACUGGAAUUUACGGUGUAGCGGUGAAAUGCGUAGAUAUCGUAAGGAAGACCAGUGGCGAAGGCGGGUCUCUGGACAGUUCCUGACGCUGGAGGCACGAAGGCCAGGGGAGCAAACGGG
rnacentral:rRNA from 1 species